CAACAGCUAGAGUUUGAUCCUGGCUCAGGAUGAACGCUGGCGGCGUGCUUAACACAUGCAAGUCGAAUGUAGUUUACUACAUGGCGGACGGGUGAGUAACGCGUGAGCAAUCUGCCCAUAUCUGGGGGAUAACAGUUGGAAACGACUGAUAAUACCGCAUAAUAUUGUUUGAAGGCAUCUUCUUACAAUCAAAGAUUUAUCGGAUAUGGAUGAGCUCGCGUCUGAUUAGCUAGUUGGUGAGGUAACGGCCCACCAAGGCGACGAUCAGUAGCCGACCUGAGAGGGUGAUCGGCCACAUUGGAACUGAGACACGGUCCAAACUCCUACGGGAGGCAGCAGUGGGGAAUAUUGGGCAAUGGAGGAAACUCUGACCCAGCAACGCCGCGUGAAUGAUGAAGGUCUUCGGAUUGUAAAGUUCUUUUCUAAGGGACGAAGAAAGUGACGGUACCUUAGGAAUAAGCCUCGGCUAACUACGUGCC
rnacentral:rRNA from 1 species